rnacentral:rRNA from 1 species
UAGGGAAUCUUCGGCAAUGGACGGAAGUCUGACCGAGCAACGCCGCGUGAGUGAAGAAGGUUUUCGGAUCGUAAAGCUCUGUUGUAAGAGAAGAACGAGUGUGAGAGUGGAAAGUUCACACUGUGACGGUAUCUUACCAGAAAGGGACGGCUAACUACGUGCCAGCAGCCGCGGUAAUACGUAGGUCCCGAGCGUUGUCCGGAUUUAUUGGGCGUAAAGCGAGCGCAGGCGGUUAGAUAAGUCUGAAGUUAAAGGCUGUGGCUUAACCAUAGUACGCUUUGGAAACUGUUUAACUUGAGUGCAAGAGGGGAGAGUGGAAUUCCAUGUGUAGCGGUGAAAUGCGUAGAUAUAUGGAGGAACACCGGUGGCGAAAGCGGCUCUCUGGCUUGUAACUGACGCUGAGGCUCGAAAGCGUGGGGAGCAAACAGGAUUAGAUACCCUGGUAGUCCACGCCGUAACGAUGAGUGCUAGGUGUUAGACCCUUUCCGGGGUUUAGUGCCGUAGCUAACGCAUUAAGCACUCCGCCUGGGGAGUACGACCGCAAGGUU